rnacentral:pre_miRNA from 1 species
UGCAUACUCCCUCCGUCCGGAAAUAUUUGUCAUCAAAAUGGAUAAAAGGGGAUGUAUCUAGACGUAUUUUAAUUCUAGAUACAUCUCUUUUUAUCCAUUUUGAUGACAAGUAUUUUCGGACGGAGGGAGUACUUU